AUACGGAGGAUGCGAGCGUUAUCCGGAUUUAUUGGGUUUAAAGGGUGCGUAGGCGGUCGGGUAAGCGUAGGGUGAAAGUCCACUGCUCAACAGGGGAAGUGCUUUCCGAACUGUCCGACUUGAAUUCUCCUGCCGUGGGAGGAAUGUGUGGUGUAGCGGUGAAAUGCAUAGAGAUCACACAGAACACCGAUUGCGAAGGCAUCUCACGAAGGGGCGAUUGACGCUGAGGCACGAAAGCGUGGGGAUCAAACAGGAUUAGAUACCCUGGUAGUCCACGCAGUAAACGAUGAUGACUAACCGUCGGUCCAUUCGGAUCGGUGGCCAAGCGAAAGCGAUAAGUCAUCCACCUGGGGAGUACGACCGCAAGGUUGAAACUUAAAGGAAUUGACGGGG
rnacentral:rRNA from 1 species